ensembl:lncRNA
AGAGAGAGGAAAACACGCGCGCGCACACACGGUGAUAUCUUGCGGGUGAUGAAUAUGAUAAUUGGACAAGAGACGAGAGAACCAUUCUCUGCUUUCAAUAGGACAGAAGAGCUCCUUGGCACUGCAUGCCUCCGGGUCUGGUUGAGAGAGGAAUGGUUAGGAGACUGUUCUGAGGAUACGCAGACAUCAUCCAAAGCUUCCUACAUUCAGAUGAGGACAGAGGUUGGGCCAGAGCAUGGCAUGCUUGUUACCUAAGGACGGUUCUGACCAUGUGAGCAAAUCACAGAAGCUGGACGCAAAGGAUGUGAAAAUGGGAGAGCCACGUAAUGGAAGGUUCCCAGAUUUCAGAGCUGUCACUUGGAGGAGGGCCACCCAGUGAAGAGUGACCAUAUGGAUUUGAUCCCUAUCCUUCAGAGGUGCUCAGCCCAAGGGAACACGGGUAGUAGAUUAAGCACUGACCAGGAGAAGCAGUCCUAGGGCAGCCUCCGGGCCAGCUUUCCCUAAUAAGAAGGCAGAGUUCCUCUUCACCCAGACUUCCGACCUAUAGAGGUAGCCUGGGGUCCCAGGAUGCCCUUGCACUCAGAGAUGUCCCCAGAGUCCUAGGGGAAUGGAGGAUAACUAGGAGGAAGCUGUUCGUGGCUGCGGAUGGGGUCUAUACAUUCUUCUCUAUCUCAGUGCUGUCUGCUAUUGAAUUUUUGUGCAGAUCACAUUAAUUUAAAGCCAGUUCUCAAGAAGCCCCCCCGGCAUAUCUACCAGUUGCUCCCCUUUCCUGCCAUUAAUCAGUGUCUGCUAAUUAAACAACAAACUCCUGUUUGUCCAAACAGCUGCCAACAUCCCCACCCCAAGGCAGUUAAAUGAGGAUAAAUGAGUCAGUCUUAUUAAAAAAUGACUUAAAUUUAUCAAAUUCUAUUUAUGUUUCUUUUACAUCCCAAUUUUCUGUAGAUUUAGUGACUCCAAAUGAUAAGGUCUCAAGCUUAUAAUAAUUUAUCCCUUGAGUAACACAAGGCUUGGUGGUAUUUCAGUAAUAUUCAUGACAGCAGCAGUCGUGCUAACAAGGACUGAUGUCACCAGAGCACGUUCUAUGUGCCAAGCACGGUGCACAACACUUUACAUGCAUUAUCUCAUUUAAUUUUCACAAAACCUCGCAGAGGUAAAUAUUAUUAUCUUCCUCUGCAUAGAAGGAAAUGAAUGUUCAGAAAGAUUAAGUCAACUCACUGAUGUCCCAUCGGUGGUCUUUCAUAGGCCUCUGUUGCUGUCUCAUUGAACUAUUGAAAUUAGAAAAACCUGGGGACCUUGUUAACCUACAGAUUCCUGGGCCCCAUCUUAGAUGCAGGGAGUCAGAAUUUCUGGGAGUGUGGCCCUGGAAUUUUCGUUUGUAAACACAUUCCCUAAGAGACUUGUAUACACGCUAAAGUGGGAGAAUUCACGGCCUCUGGCUUCUGUGAUGUUUUAAACGCACUAUAUAAUUUCAAUAGCAAAAGAGUUGGGCUUUGGGAAGGGAGUGUGUGGUGAACCCUGAAAGCUGAAUGGACUUCCUUCCUGUGGAGGAGCAGUGGGAAAAAUUGGAGGCAGAGAGCUGUGUUUCAGUCCUUGAUUGAGCUUAUGUGAGUUAUUUAAUCUCUCUCAGUCUCUAUUUUUUUUCAUUUGUAAACCAGGAAGGAUAAUUUUAUUUUCCAGGUGGUUGUGAGGUGUGAAAGAGAUGAGAGUAGAAUAAAGUUGAAAGAGUUGAAAGCCCUCAACAAAUGUAUGUGGUAUCAAUCAUGGGUUUCCCUGGGGCUGAGGAAGCCACCGCAAGCCUGUGCACAAUGCCAGCCACCUUGUAUGGAUACAGAGGAGGCAAAGGGACUAACAAACACUCCCAGAGACUGGAUAUCUUGAAUAUCUGUCCAACUUUCUUGGGAGGGGCCAUUUCUUCUGUAACUCAAAGGAAUUUCUUGUUUUUAAGCCAGGGAGGCAUGCUUUCUAUCUGCUGCUGGUACUCCCAGACCAAGCUGUUGCAUGUGGGACUGAAGUGUGACUUCUGCCUCAGUUUCGUCCACCUGUGCAGGGAAGAGAAAAAUGCCUGCACCUCCAUGGUCAUACCCUCUGUUGGAUCCACCUCCUUAAGCCAGAAUUAUUGAAUGUUCUCUAUGUGCCAGAAUGAUUAUUAUUUCAUUUGAUUCUCACAAUAAUGCCGUGAAGUCUAUACAGACAUACCUUGGAAAUAUAGUGGGUUUGGUUCCAGACCACUGCAAUAAAGCUAAUGUCGC